CCCUUGACAUACCAACCCGCGAUUUCCAGAGAUGGAUUUCUUCAGUUCGGCUGGACAUCAUACAGGUGCUGCAUGGCUGUCGUCAGCUCGUGUCGUGAGAUGUUGGGUUAAGUCCCGCAACGAGCGCAACCCUCAUCCUUAGUUGCCAUCAGUUCGGCUGGGCACUCUAAGGAAACUGCCGGUGACAAGCCGGAGGAAGGUGGGGAUGACGUCAAGUCCUCAUGGCCCUUACGGGCUGGGCUACACACGUGCUACAAUGGCAAUGACAGUGGGACGCGAAGGGGCGACCCUGAGCUAAUCUCCAAAAAUUGUCUCAGUUCGGAUUGUUCUCUGCAACUCGAGAGCAUGAAGGCGGAAUCGCUAGUAAUCGUGGAUCAGCAUGCCACGGUGAAUACGUUCCCGGGCCUUGUACACACCGCCCGUCACACCAUGGGAGUUGGCUUUACCCGAAGACUGUGUGCUAACUUUUGAGGCAGCAGGCCACGGUAAGGUCAGCGACUGGGGUGAAGUCGUAACAAGGUAACC
rnacentral:rRNA from 1 species